AGUUUGUCAUGCACUGUAAAAAAUGAUUCCGCAUUUUAGUUUUCUCAACAUAAUUUUGUAAGUUGACACAACUUGCAGUUUUUUAAUUUGUUGAUAUAACUGAACAUGCUAAGUUUUCACUGUCUCAACUAGUCUCAAGUUGACUGAACUAAAGAAUGUGUCGACUCAACUUAAAAAUGUUUGCUGAACCAGUAAGGUUAGCAUAUCGCGAGAUCUUCUGCAGCGAAGCGGCGGGAGAUGUUCGUAGGCCAUGACAUGGAGUUUAUUUCGGCAGUUGUUUUUAAUUCCUCAAUCAUCAUCUAAUCUGGUAAGUAUAUUUGUUCAUUAAGGUGUAAUAACUUGUAAAAUGACAUGUAUGAACUAAUCGUCAAUGUAUUUUUACAAAUCGUCAAUGUGUUUUUACACUAUUAAUAUUUCUAGAUCUGACUGAUUAGACCGUUGCAAUCCAUGUGGUGUUCCCACAUAUAACCCAGUUAUCAGUACUUUAGUUGAUCAUCUGCAAAUCAAAGCUAAAAAAAUCAACAAAACUAGUAACUUAAUCUAGCACAUCUUUUUCUACAAUUCAUUAAAGACGUGCAUUAUUUGUUGCUAAAAGGCGGUUGCUGCUAAUUUUACAUGGAGGAUAUAUGAUAUAUGCCCUCCCUUAUUCAAAUAAUAUCACAAUAUUUCAAUUAAUGUGUAAUUAAGUAAAGUAAUCUGCACCGUUCUAAUAAUGUGAGAGAGAAAUAUGGAUAAAUGGCAAAAUACAGAGCGGGAAAAUGUGUUGUGAGACAUAACGCGCCUUCAUAAUUAAUUUUUCCUGUUCAAGUUAUUUGCGUCAAAACGAAUCACUAUACAGCCAAAUCAGCGUUUACGCGAGAUUGACAAAUGUUAUGUUAUUCCAUGUAAAGCUUUGUAACAUUAAAUGGUAACGUAUGGCAGGCUUUAAAGCCUGUGCGACCGGACGCUCCUUCACGUGAACUGAAAAGUUACUUAGCAGCUGAACCGAGUCCGAUCUAUUUAGACGACAUAGAUGUAAGUGAACGCUCCCAUUGCUGAAAAAACUUUGAUCAUAAUACUUAUUAUAUUAUUUCGUUGCAAGUGACAUGAAUAAACAAACACUAGAAUAGCUUUGUGUGCGAGUGAAACAUGCUUUUCGCAAACGUUACUGCUAAAGUGGUUAAUUAAAACAGCUUGUGUGAUUUGACUACAUCUGCAUGAAUUUUCACAUUAAAGAUCACACAUCAUUUAAAUAACUCCAAGUUGGUAGUCUUCUCAAAAAACACUGGGUGCACUCAAUGGACUGUUUUUUGUAACUGCAGUUGCGGCAUUAUGCCUCGAGAGGCGCUGUUUUGUUAUAAGCACAGUGAGUAAAGUCUACAAAGAGAGGUAGAGAGGGAGUCCAAGGACAACAAAACAAAGUGAAGAAGCCAAAAAGAUCUGAAACAAACUUUCUCCCAGAUCUACCUGCCGGAAAAGACCAGAAAACACUGGAACACGAAAGGGGACUGAUGUGCCAAGAGAUGAAAAAGAAAAAUCCAGACAUGAGUUUUGUGGAUGGAGCCAUGAGCAGCACAUAUGCUCUACGAAGACAGAAAAUCAUUCAUAAAGAGCCUCCAGUGUCUGAAAGGAAGAAGAAAUGGGCUGCUCUUUUUUGUGAAAGACAGAUCAGUGCAGAAUUCAACAGCCUAGUGACACUGGAUCUGAGCAAGUCUUUCCAUGAGGGUAUAGACCGCCAUCUACCAAAGCUGCUGUGUCUGUACCGUUCAAAGUGCUGUAUGGAAUUGUAGAAAUCAGGGCCAUAAUGGACAGCCUAGAUAAAAAUAACACAGAUUCGGAAGAAGUGAUGACCAGAGGCAUGACUCUUGGAAUCCUCACAGUGGUGGAAGAUGUGACAGACCCCCUUCCGUGCAGCUUGUGUGAUGUGGCCCUUUCAAUUGAGGAAGCAGUUGUUCUGAGAAUGCCUAUGUGAACAUGAUGGGGUUGUUGUAUGCUGUCAACAUAAACUACCCAGAAACCUCAGAUACACCUUUGAGGUAAUUCAGAGGCCACUGAUGAACGUCAGCGCUGAAACUUGUACUUCAAGAGUGCACUCCCUUAAAAAUGCAUUGUCUUAUUAAUUUAUUCCAAGAAUCUGUUUAAAUUUUACUCAGAAAUUCUUUAAGUUUUCAAUUGUUUUAAGUUACUUCGAAGUUAAAGUGGUUUUAUAAAUGUGUAAAAUCUUAGUGUUAGUUCACCCAAAAUCAUGUUUUUGUGGACUAACACUUUUCAUGUGUGUUCAAAUAGUUUUUUUACUUUUCAGUAUUUCUAUAUUCUAUGUAUAUAUAUAUAUAUAUAUAUACUGAUAUAUAUAUAUAUAUAUUUAUAUCCCUUACAGAAAAGACACAUGUGAAAUGUGUGUUUUUGGAACAUUUGGGUGUGAAUUCCCAUGUGAAACACAUAUGAUUACAGGUAAAAACCCAUGGGAUGACAUGUGCGACAUGUGGUGAUAUGUCUCCACUUGUGAACACAUGUUCUUCACAUGACAACCUGUUUUUCACAUUUCAUCCCAUGGAUUUUUAAAUGUUAUCAUAUGUGUUUCACUCAGGAAUUCACAUGGGAUUCACACCCAUAUGUUCAAAAAACACACAUUUGACAUGUGUUUUUUUGCACAUGUUAAACACAUGUGGUAAGCAUAUGAUCACAUGUGAAAUUCAUGUGUCUUUUCUGUAAGGAUAUGUGUAUUUAUGCAUGAGUUUUACUCAGAGUUAUUGAAGUGGAGAUGUCAUUUUGUGUAGGAGAUACUUUAAAUGUGAGAUGGUGGUCUAGUGGGUUAAACCACUGAACUGGUAAAUCAAAGGUUGCUGGUUUGAUCCCAACAGCCACCACCAGUGUGUCCUUGAGCAAGACACUUUACUCCAUGUUGUUCCAGGGGGGUUGUCCCUGUAAUAUGUGCACUGUAAGUCGCUUUGGAUAAAAGCGUCUGCAAAAUGACUAAAUGUAAAUGUAAAUGUGACACAUAAUGUUAUAUUUCAUUUUUGUCAUGAGAAUCUACUUUUUGAGUUUUCUCCUUAACGAGUAUUUAUAUGUAAGGGACAAUAAAAUAAUUUAAAU